GUCUGCCCCCCUUCUUCCCAGCAAGAGAAACUGUUCAGAAAAGGGAAGAGGUUCUUAAGGCAGAAGCAAGUGAAAUCUGGAAAUAAGCUGCCCGCCCGCAAAGAAAAACUCUUCAUAGAGGGAGCAGGGGAAGAUCUUUGUAUUUCUACCUUUGCAGAUGGAGGUAAUUUGCAGCAAGGAAAGAAAGAUUAAACUCCCUGCAGGACUUUGCCUCCAGCGUCCCCCGCUCUCAGAAGCCCCACUCACCUGUAUCGCAUCAGCGCUGGGGCUCAGGCGACGCGGCUAGUGGUCAGCACUGCGAGUCCUCCAGGGGUCCCGAGGGUCCCAUCUCGUCAGCACCCAGGGGUCCGAGCUAUCUGAAGUCCAUGCAUCCAUGGCCCACCCAGUGGAAAGAAGAAGGGUGGCCCAGAGACAGGAGGGAGAAAAGUGGGUGCCAAGAAGAGCAGUUUUCUGAGCAGAGGGCUCCCCACAAAAGCAGACACUGAACGGGGUUGCUGUAUCAGCUGCCAAGGGAAAAAAAAAAAGAGGAGGAGGAGGUUUCCCUGAUGCUGGGAGGAGGGAAAGGAGGACCGAUCGUUCUCAGCUGCUGAUCAUCUUUAGCUAAGUGCUACACGGGGACCCAGCCUGGGGAGAUCAAUCCAGGCAAGGCAGAAGCUGAGAACAAGCCAGGCCACUGCUCCUCAGGGGGAAAAAUAAUUCACGAUUUCUUGCUCUCUUCUCUAUGCCCCUUAACACCGCACUGGGACCUCCCAGCACAGGGCAAAACUGUUGUCUCAAAAAGGAGACUUUUUCCCCCCGUUCGGGCUUCCCUUAAAGAGCAGAGGAACGGUGGUAAGAAGAGUAUUCUCUCUCUUCCACUGGUUCCUGUCGGGGGUCCGGGGAGGGGGCGUGUAGAAUAGGCAUCAGGCAGCAGGGAUAUGGAAUCGUGUUAUAAUUUAACCAUCUCCACUCCGCCACAUUGCAACCUAAAUUAUUUAUGCUCUUAGAAAAAUGAUAAUUAGAGGACAGCUGCUAGCCUCCUCUCUGAGUCUGUCGUGUUCAUUCUGGAAACAGCUUCCCAGUACCCUGAUCUCCUCCCUUAGGCAGAGGGGUUGUAUUAUUAAAGAAGAAAGGCAGGAAAAGGAAAGUUGAGUCCUUUCAUGCAAAACACCAAUCCAUUACAACUUGGAAACAGCACCACAUAAAUAAAAUAUGGCAUAGCUAUGCAAUGGAAUAUUAUUCAGCCAUGAAACGGAAUGAAGCACUGAUCCGUGCUGCAACGUGGAUGAACCCCAAAAACAUGAUGUUGAGUGAAAGAAGGCAGACACAAAAGACCACAUGGUGUAGGAUUCCAUUUAUGCAAAUUGUCCAGAGUAGGCAGAUCCAUAGAGAUGGAAAUCAGAUUAAUGGGUUGGAUGCAAAUGGUAUGUAUUGACCAACAGCCCCAGCUGAGGUCCAGUUGACAGUCAGCAUCAACUACCAGACAUGGGAAUGAGCAACCUUCAGAUGAUUUCAGCCUCCAGUUGUUGAGUCGCCUCAACCUUGAAUAUUCCCAGUAGAGACCCAGGCACUAUGCAGCAAAAUCAAGGCAUCUUUUUCUGCAUCCAUUCUGAAUUCCUGACCCAUAGAAUCUGAUAGCACAUAAACUGGUUUCUAUUUUAUGCCCCUAACUUGGGGCAUGGUUGGGUUUUGUGGUUUGGGGUUGGGGUUGGUUUUUGCUUUGUUUUGUUUCGUUUGAGAUAGGGUAUUGCUCUGUCAACCAGGCUGGAGUGCAGCGGCGUGAUCAUAGCUCACUGCAGCCUCAAACUCCUGGCGCAAGCAAUCCUCCCACCUCAGCCUCCUGAGUAGCUGAGACCACAGGUGCACACCACCAUGCCUGCCCCCAAAAAUGUUCUCAUAUCAUUGCCCUUCCCUGUAUCCCCACCUUUGGCUGUGUAACUUUGCAAUACUCUUAUUAUGAGCAAAACAUAUGGUCUCACCUCUUGACUUUGGAUUUCGUUAUACGACUUGCUUUGGACAAUAAUUUUAAAAACCACAAAACUGACAGUGUGUCAUUUUUGAGCCUAGGUAUAUUAGUCAGAGAAAUAGAACCAGUAGUAUAGUAAAGAUACACGAGACAGAGACAGGGAGAGAGCCAGAGGGAAAGAUAGAUUUAUCAGGAGGUAUUGGCUCACGUGAUUAUGGAGGCUGAGAAGUCAUACAAUCUGCCAUCUCCAAGCUGGAGAUCCAGAAAAGUCAGUGGUGUCAUUCAGUUUGACUCCCAAAGGCCUGAGAACCAGUGUAGCCAAUGAUAUAAAUCCUCGUCUAGGGACCAGAGAAGAUAAGAUGAUAUGUCCCAGCUCAAGCAAUAAAGCAGUAAAAGAGGCAAAAUUCUCCUUCCUCCAUCUUUUGUUCUACUCAGGCCCUCAACAGAUUGGAUGAUAUCCACCCAACUGGGGAUGAUGGCAGCCUGCUUUACUGAGUACAGUGAUUCAAACGCUAAUGAUACAGGAGCUAAAAAGAAAUUAUUUAGGCAGACAGUGAGGGUAAGAGAGUCCUCAGCAGAAUUACCCUUUUAACAAAAAGCAGCCCCCAAAUAAUUUCUUUUCUAACAAAGAGCAGCCUGAAACUUUGAGCUGCAAACAUAGAUAAGCAAGCUGGAAGCUUGCACAGGUGAAUGCCAGCAGCUGUGCCAAUAGAAAAGGGCUACCUGGCAUGUUCAACAUGGAGGCUCCAUCUUCCCUUUUCUUUGUCACCACAUGUGCAGUAGAAAAGCAGGCAACAUGGUGCUGGCCAGGUAGAGAACCCAUCUGCAUAAUAAAACAUUAGGGUGGUGAGGCCAGCUUCUUUGUGCACUAUGCAAACGGCACCCGUAGUCCAAUCCGGGUCUUCACAUGCUAUGCAAAUGGCAUACCUGGUCUGACCAAUCCUUCAUGCCCUAUGUAAAUCAGACAUCACUUCCUCAAGCUCAUCUAUUAAACAUCCUGUACUUUGCCACAAACAGGAAGCCCUGCUUAGGAGCCCCUCUCUCUCUGCAGGAGAGAGAUUUUUCUCUUUCUUUCGCCUAUUAAACCUCUACUCUUAACCUCACUCCUUGUGUGUCCACAUCCUUGAUUUCCUUGGUGUGAAGCAGUGAACCUUGGGUAUUACCCCAGGCGAAUAAUGCCACUUCACUAAUACUCUCAAUCAGGCCAGGCAUAGUGGCCCAUGCCUGUAAU
rnacentral:lncRNA from 10 species